UACGUAGGUGGCAAGCGUUGUCCGGAUUUAUUGGGCGUAAAGAGCGCGCAGGCGGUCGUCCAAGUCGCGUGUGAAAGCCCCCGGCUCAACUGGGGAGGGUCACGCGAUACUGGUCGACUCGAAGGCAGGAGAGGGUAGUGGAAUUCCCGGUGUAGUGGUGAAAUGCGUAGAUAUCGGGAGGAACACCAGUGGCGAAGGCGACUACCUGGCCUGUUCUUGACGCUGAGGCGCGAAAGCUAGGGGAGCAAACGGG
rnacentral:rRNA from 1 species